AUCUAAGUAGCUUAAAAAGAGCAUUGCAUUGAAGCUGUAAGUGUGGUAGUUUACCCUUAGGUG
rnacentral:tRNA from 1 species